rnacentral:rRNA from 1 species
UACGUAGGGUGCGAGCGUUAAUCGGAAUUACUGGGCGUAAAGCGUGCGUAGGCGGUUGGCAAAGUCAGCUGUGAAAGCCCCGGGCUUAACCUGGGAAUGGCCAUGGAAACUGGCGAACUGGAGUGUGGCAGAGGGGGGUGGGAAUUCCGCGUGUAGCAGUGAAAUGCGUAGAGAUGUGGAGGAACACCGAUGGCGAAGGCAGCCCCCUGGACCAAUACUGACGCUCAUGCACGAAAGCGUGGGGAGCAAACAGG